UCGCAAAUCUUUUUUCAUGUUACACUCUUUCUUACUCGGAACCGCGUGCAAAUCGCGGACUGUGCCGCAACUGUGAAUCGAGCGCUGGUGGUAAAAGCGACAACGCAACCCCUAGCCUCGAAAGUCAGGAACGAGACAUUGUGUUGAUCUCCGA
rnacentral:ncRNA from 2 species